UAGCUGAAACACUGCUCACUUUAAAUAUUCCAGCAUAUUCAGAAAGAACUCGUUGAUGGUCUGCAUUUCUUUAAUACCUGAUCAGAAGACAAGAAUUUGCUGUUUCCCAAGGGACACCCGAGUCUCCUGCCAUUAGGUUAGUAUCAUUGUUCAGAAAAAACACCAUGAUGUUUAUCAUCUUAGGAUCAAGCUGAUAAAAUUCACUGAAAGCCAUUUAAAAAGCAACCCGACCCUUUCAAAACAAACUCUAACUUUUCAACUCAAGCUAUUUAAAUGUCUGCAAGGGGAAAAGUUUUGUUCCUUGUUUCAGAGGACAGCUACACCACCCUGUGAGUGCCAAGAAGCAGCACAAGCUGAUGGAGGCUGCAGCAGUUCUGAUGCAGAGGGGGUCGGCACCACCAGCACCACUUCUGAACAGCAGCCAGGGAUGGGGCUCGUCAUCUCCCCUGCACUGCCCAUGGUUCUACUCACUCCUGCUGAGAGUUGCUGCUGCCUUCCUUGGGAGUUUGAUCCUGUCACCCAAAUCCUGCUAUGAAGCAAGGUAGCUCAGAAGAUGGAGAGAAAAAAACGAAAAUAUGAUUCCAAACUCAGCAAGUUCUGCCUUGCACAUGGAAGAAAUCGCAGUCAGCUGGUUAACAGUACCCUGCACCAGCACAAGAGAGUAUCACUGCCUCUCAGAGUACCAAGUCCACCACAGCCUGUUGGCCUGGACUUUCAAAAGCAAGAUGGCAGGCAUCACACCAAGCAGCAAGGUAAAGUAGAAAUCGGGUGCAAAGCCAUGUGAAAUUUGAAAACUGGUACUAGACGUGAGAGCUCUUUCAAAGGCAAAUUCCCAAAAUGCUUCAAUUGUUCUUUAGAAAGACCCAGAACCUCCAGUGCCAAGGAAAGCAGUGCUUGGUAACAACUUCCAGUGAUAAAUAUCAGUAUGUUUUAAAGCUUGUUUUCACAGGUUUCUCUGUCUCCAUACUGAUUUUAGGAGAAUAUUUUAAUCAAAUCCAAAAUAACAAUGCAGAAAGAAGUGCUGACAUGGAGAGAGAUAAUCCUGUCCUCAAUGCUGAUACUGAAAUACAUACUCCUGCACAGCCUACAAGAGAGUAUCCCACUGAGAUUUCUACAGAUGGCCUGGAUGGGAAGGACAGUAGACAUGAACUCCCAAAUACCUAAGACCAGAAAGGGAAAAUAAGUUAUCAUCAGAAAUACUAAACUAGUUAGAUACAAACUGCUGUCAAAAUCAUAAAGCAAAUAAAUGGGGAAAAAAAUAAAAAAAAAAGAAUCCCUUCAAUCUCCCUAAUAUUCCUAGGAGUAAGAGGGAUUACUUGAAAAAACAGCCAUCUUUUUAAAAAGGGUAGAAUGUUUUGAGUUGCCAGCAUGCUUUUAAUUGCGUUUAGCAAGUUAAAGUCUAUUGCACGAACUACACAAAUUAAGUCCUUCAAAGUCACAAUGAAGUUGCUGAUUCGCCAACAUUUUUAAUCCUGCAAUUUUAUGCAGGAUGCUUAACAUGCCUAACAUGCUUAAAUACAUUCUCAACAAUACCCUUUUAAUAAUCAAAUACAUUCACACUGGCAACUUCAGUACACUGACUGACGUAACAGUUUGAAGUAUUUCAACGGGCAUAUGUGUGUCUCUUGACUUUACAUUUUAACAUUGCCAAAACACACAUCCCCACAACAUGAAAGAAGAAAGUCAAGCCUUGGUGUACACUAAGACUGACCCAAACUGCCUGGAAACAAACAGGAAAUCCACAGAUUUUUAAGGCCAGAAGGGAAUGCUGUGAUUGCCAAUCUCACUUCUGCACAAAGGAGCCAGUAAGAUUUCACCCCAAAAAUCCUGCAGCAAGUAUUCGGAAACUGAGUAACAGCUGAACAUCCGGCACAGAAACAUCCUUAAGGUAAAUCACCUAAAUCAGGAGCAAAACUUAAAUGAUGAAAACUCUCCAUUUUCCUUCUGUAAACAGGUAGGA